GUUUCUGGGAGGUGAGGUCAAUCGGAUCAGCCACUGAGGGGAAAAGCAUGAAAUUAUCCCAGGCAGUGAGCAGAGGCCGGGCAGAUUCUAUCUGGUGCAGGCAACUGAUAUCACCGGCCACGGCGUUUGCCCAGGAACAGAGAACACUGCCAAGGCAGGCGUCACAAACACCUCUCUUUUCACAUGACAAUCUCCCUGGUUUCCAUGUUAUCCUCCAGAGCCCAAAGAGAGCACUGGCACCAGCAGAAAUGCCCGGCCAAGGCUGGAAGGCAAAUCCAGCCCCUGCACACUGGGGCAGCCCAGGGGGGUCUGGGCACAGCCCGCAGUGUCCUCGUGCCCUCUGCCAGCACUGGGUACCUCCCUGCCCUUCCCACCUCUGCAUCAGUGCAGGGAGUUACCAUCCAGCUCAGAACUCACAGACCAUGAUUUAUCUCAAGGGGGUUUGUGGAUAAGCCCCUAGUGCAGAUCAAACCCCACCUCUGGCUGCAGUCACCUGCUGCCAGGCUGGCAGGGCUGGAGGAUGGAGGGGUGGCAGGUGGGUGUGUGCAACAGCCAAACACAGCCCUGAUGCUUUAGGGAGCCCAAAACUGGAUGUCAGUUAUUUCCUCAGUUACCUUCAAUGUUUCAAGUCGAAGCCCUUGCACAUUUUUCUUCCUAAAAAGUCAUAAGUAAUGACUUAACAAAUCAGUCAUUACUUAUAUCUCAUUGCCUGUUUUCCCAGGAAGAGUCUCCAUGAUCUCCCUUUUUGGCAAGUGUGUGGCAGAAACCAGGGAUUAUCCUGACCCUGGCUCAGCCUCCCCCACCACCCUGCCCCAGGAUCCUGUAGUUGAAAAGGGAAUAUAGGGGUUUGGAUGGACAAAAACAUAUUGGUGGCCAUGAAGCAUCAUGAGCUUGUUCUGGGUUAAAUGAACCGUUUUG